CCAAAAUUUUGAAGGAUAUGUUUAAAUUUCACUAAGCACUAAAUGCAGGUUAGAAAAUAAGAUAAAGUUUAUUAGUGAUGUUCUUGUGUGUGGUUUGAUCACCUAAAAUAUCCUUUAAUAUAUAUAUAAAAAAAGUGAUUUAAACAACCCAUAAAUCAGAUGUCAGCUGAUAAAAUACACACAUUCCUGCUGUGAACACAAGCCGUCAUGAAUAUUAUUUCCACAUCUUGUUUCCUUCAUUUCUUCCAGUUCAAAUUGAUCCUUUAUGGGCCACUUAGGUACAGGAGUUUAUGCAGCACAGUCAUGUAUUAAUAUGAUCUGCAUUCCCAGUUCAGGUUCCAGUUUGGAUGAGAAAGGUUGGAUGAUUAUGAUCAUCUUCUACCCACAUCAUAGAAAAAUACACAGGAAAUGUGACCGACAUUUACAGAAAAUUAUCACUUUUUAAAAAUCAACAGAAAACAAAAAUAUGUUAAUAAAAAACAGUUUGGAAGAAAAGGUGUAAAAGAUUUGAUUAUAAACAAACAGAAGCAAUCAAAUCAGCACACUCAACUGUGCUCUGUUAACUUAUAGUUAAUUAUAUUAAAUCUCUAUUUUACUUCCUUUACAAGCUAUAAUACAGCACAUUUCUUAAAUUAUUGCAAUUCUAGGAAAGGACAGAGAGAAAAUCUCAAAACUCCAAGAAUUAUUUGUUCAUAAUAAGAUUUGAAUCUAAAACAAGAGGUAGAGCUAUAAAAACAUAACUUUCCUGCUACAGGAAAAUGUUAGAGUAGUUCAGUUUAUAUAAAAAAAUCUGAAAGGUCAUAUUUGUAUUUAUACAUAUAUAUAUAUAUAUAUGAGUGUA